rnacentral:rRNA from 1 species
UAACACAUGCAAGUCGAACGGGGCUAGGGUGCUUGCACCUGAUGCCUAGUGGCGAACGGGUGAGUAACGCUUAGGAAUCUGCCUAUUAAUGGGGGACAACAAUUCGAAAGGAUUGCUAAUACCGCAUACGCCCUACGGGGGAAAGCAGGGGACUCUUUUAGAGCCUUGCGUUAAUAGAUGAGCCUAAGUUGGAUUAGCUAGUUGGUGGGGUAAAGGCCUACCAAGGCGACGAUCCAUAGCGGGUCUGAGAGGAUGAUCCGCCACGCUGGGACUGAGACACGGCCCAGACUCCUACGGGAGGCAGCAGUGGGGAAUAUUGGACAAUGGGGGGAACCCUGAUCCAGCCAUGCCGCGUGUGUGAAGAAGGUCGUAAGAUUGUAAAGCACUUUAAGCGAGGAGGAGAGUACUGGUGCUAAUACCAUCAAGUACUGGACGUUACUCGCAGAAUAAGCACCGGCUAACUCUGUGCCAGCAGCCGCGGUAAUACAGAGGGUGCAAGCGUUAAUCGGAAUUACUGGGCGUAAAGCGCGCGUAGGUGGCUAAUUAAGUCGGAUGUGAAAUCCCCGAGCUCAACUUGGGAAUUGCAUUCGAUACUGGUUAGCUAGAGUAUGAGAGAGGAAGGUAGAAUUCCAGGUGUAGCGGUGAAAUGCGUA